rnacentral:rRNA from 1 species
GGGGAAUAUUGCACAAUGGGCGAAAGCCUGAUGCAGCAACGCCGCGUGAGCGAUGAAGGCCUUCGGGUCGUAAAGCUCUGUCCUAUGGGAAGAUAAUGACGGUACCAUAGGAGGAAGCCCCGGCUAACUACGUGCCAGCAGCCGCGGUAAUACGUAGGGGGCAAGCGUUAUCCGGAAUUACUGGGCGUAAAGGGUGCGUAGGCGGUUUAUCAAGUCAGGGGUGAAAGGCUACGGCUCAACCGUAGUGAGCCUCUGAAACUGGUGAACUUGAGUGUAGGAGAGGAAAGUGGAAUUCCCAGUGUAGCGGUGAAAUGCGUAGAUAUUGGGAGGAACACCAGUGGCGAAGGCGACUUUCUGGACUACAACUGACGCUGAGGCACGAAAGCGUGGGGAGCAAAC